AGAGAGGGAGGAUGUCCCUCUUGGAGGUACAUCAUUUCCCUCACUGGCCCUUAUAUGUGGAGGAAGCGACUGUCUCUAGCAAGGAAGUGAGUCUGUUUGUGUCAUUCCUCCUCCCCUGCACUUUCGAUGCUGUCCUGUCUUAUCCACCGCUCAGUGCUUUACUCGUUCUGAUCCUCUGCCCCUCUAGGCCACAUCAAGCCCCUUUCCUUUUCCUUACUUGUGUGCUCUGUUUCUGCAUGUCCUUCUUCCCUGUUUGGUCGAAACCUUUCUGGGGUCGUGAUUUAUCACGCUAGGUGACAUCUUGCCUUGUAACGUCGCAGUACCACUGUUGAGUGCUCAGCAUGGCAUAUAAAGACAUGCCUCUCUUUUUUGUUUUGACGGCGCGGGAGGGAAUGGAAGGAGCAGAAAUACCUGGACCAGUAGGAGAAAAAGCCUCCCAAGUCUGGCAGACGCGGAGGUAAAACGUCUUCCAGUGCCAGCUGCUGGAGCAAAGCAGAAGACUCACUGAAGUGGAGCCAGCGUGCUCAGUAAUUGCAAUGGAUCUGACAGACAAAACACGGAGAGAGAAAGAUCCCUUGCCAAGAGGACACGCUGCACGGAGAGGUAUGGAGCCCGUAGCGCGUUCUCCCAGCAAGGCCGAGGAGGGGUGUUGCAGGCCAUGGAUGGCAGGACUCGUCCUUACCAUUCGGGUUAUAUUUUAUCAAGACCACGUAAAACACCAACCCAGCGCGUGAGAGGGAGCACAGCCCCCAGAGCCCUGCGGUCCCGCCGUGUCUCUCCUUCUCCAUCUCGCAAGCAAUGGAGGCACUGGAGGAAAGAGCAGACCAUGGGACCGAGGCCACCACCAUGGUGUGAGCUGGCCUAGGCAGGAGAUCCAGCUAUGGGGGCUCGUUGUCCUCCCCCUGUGCCGAUUUCCACCCCUUCAACCAGCAGUUACCAUUAUUUUAAUUAACAAUAAAUAAGGAACAAGGAAGUUUGGAAUCCAGGCAUAUAAAAAUCCUCGGCCAAAAAGCAGAAAACACAGUGAAACGAGUUCGAGGAACUAAUUUCCUUUCACAGUGACAGUUUUAUCCCCUCCUGAAAAGGAAAAGGCAAGAGUGAAACAUGCCUAAUGCAACCACUAAACCACUAAAAAGGGCCAAGAAAAAGUGGUUGCUUAACAGCUUGUCUUCAAAUAAAGGUGGAACAGAGCCGUACUUGUCGUAGGCCCGUUCUCCUAAUCUUUGCACAGAAUGACUAAGAUGUUCAUCAUGCAGCAACCCCAGGACAAUUACUGCUCCCUGAGUGCAGAGAUGACCCUACACCUGGAGGUAUUUUGUGGUGGUCUCAGUAGACCUGAAAUCCCCAUCGAGCAUCAUAUAGCUAGUUGGCUCCGGCUCACUGGAAGGCGCCGAUGGCUUUUGGGCAUGCUUGUCCCCCACUGCCACCCCUUGGGGUGCACCCACACUCCCCUUGGGUGAGGAGCCACCUGGUUGAUCCCGCUGCCAUCGUGCCUGCUCCGGAGCCGAGUCCGGCGGGUGUCCCCUCUGCUCCUUCCUGCUCACGGGGGAGGAGGAAGGCAUUAGGCAAAUAUCCCCAACGUGUUAAGAUUCCUGCUUAAUGAGCGCGUUUGCUCAGCGCAGCAAUUUUGUGCCCUAUCAGCAACCUUAUCGGGCUGAGCCUGCCUCUGCCACCUGCAAGCAGAGAUAUCGGACGGGGGGGGGCCAUAAACCCGUUUGUUUUACGUUCCUAUGCACCGAAGGCAAGAACUGGUUUCAAAGUGAACUUAUCGUUUUAUUUUUGCCAUAAAAUAAGGGAUAAAACGC